rnacentral:tmRNA from 1 species
GGGGGCGACAGGUUUCGACGCAGAGACAGAAGCAUCAGUCGCGUGCCGAGGACCCCGGUCGGCCUCGUUAAACACCCGGGAAAUUAAGAUAAACGCUAAUAAUGAAUUAGCCCUCGCGGCUUAAUAAAGCCGUGACGCUUUGCUGUUGAACACCUGCUAGGCAGACAAAGCGUCGACAAGCAGGUUAGUUCCGUCGCUGAGCGACCGGACGCCGGAACGAAAUUUACGUUGGACGCUAGUUAAGGCAACGCCUGUCUGCCGGCCAAUGCUUUGACGAAUAUAAAAAGACAGAACACGCACGUAGAGACUGCUGUGACGCCUAUGCGGACGGGGGUUCAAAUCCCCCCGCCUCCAUUU